GGAAUCCUAAAAUAGGCCAUGGAAGAUGGAGAGAUCGAUUUUUGGUUCAGGUCUAAACUUCUGAAUUCCUCAUUUCCAUCUCAGAGAUCGGUAAAUCUCUCUCUCUCUCUCUCUCUCUCUCUCUCUCCGUAAUUUCAUCUCAGAAUCGAUUUUCUAUUUUAUCUUUUAUUGGAUUUUCAAAUGCUCCUAAAUUUUCUGCAGUACGUUUAGGUUUUUAAACCUAGCUUUUCUAAAUUCUAGAUCUGAAGCAGAUUCCAAUGUUUUCGAUCCAUACUUGCAUUCGAAAGCAGAAAAUCAUAGAUCUCUCUCUGCAUAUCAUUGCAAAAAUCUGUAAUAAUCUAAAAUUGUUCUCUUUUUGAUUUUUUUUAAAAUAAUUCCUUCAAUUCAAUGCAAGCAAAACAUGUAUUGUCAAGCCCCGAUUGCCUACAAGUGGACCCCACAUUUUGUUGAUCUAGCAAUUCAUUUGGUGGGCCUCGAAUUAGAUGGAUAAGGCAAUGAUCCACAUUCAAUACUCAAUUGGUAAAGGUGAAAGAUGGUUGGGAUCUUUCUGUAUAGAUGACCUUUAAGGAUCAUCAGAUCAACUACCUAGAUCACCGAACUACGGGCUCCACCUGGAGGAACUUAGUGCCCAUGAUUCUCAACUGAGGAUACACUAGCAGUUUGGUGAUCUAGGCCUUUAAUCUUAUGGUGGUCCAUGAUCCACAAACCUCCUUGGUAAUCCUAACCAUUGAACAUGUGGCCUGCAAAUAGAGAGCUUAGUAAGGAAACCGAAGCAUCAAUAUGUGUCAACAGAAGAACUGGUGUUUUGUUGAAUUAUGAUAUGUUAUGUAUGUUGUCUUAAGUAAUUUCUAAGUGCCUGUACAUCAUCCAUCAUACUCUGCCAGACUAAGAGUUUUUCUCUUUCUUCAUUUAUCUGUUUGUUUUGCAAAAUACUAUUGAUAUGGGUUCCAUUUGAUAGACCAUUAUAAAAUCCAAAGCAGAUGGAUGUUAUAUUAUUUGUAUUUUUGCUUAAAUUGAUGUGUUCAACCAAAAAUGGGGUCUCUGUAGGUACGUUAAGUUAAAACUCCCAAUUCUUUUGGUGCAUAAUCUCCUACUUUAUUUUAUUUUUAUUUCUUCGUGCACCUGUUGCAUUUGAAUGAGUCAAGUUGAGAUUUCUGUAAAUGGACAAAAGUUGCAUUUAAACCAUAGAAGUAGAAGUCUCUAAGAAGGUUGUCACAUUCAUACCUUGGCAGGCAUAUCUAUUUAAUGGCUACUGGGAACAUAUUCCAAGACUGAAUUUUUAAAAUUUUAUUUUUCAUGUCAUGUGAUGGAAGAGCUCCUGAAGGAACUCAAGAAAGGAGAGAAAAAGGCUAGAAUAGUUGCUGACUUUGAUUUGGAUCCAUACAUGAAUGUGGUCUACUGUUUGCUUCCUUUUAUUCUAGAGGUGGUUAGAAAGUUAGUUUCUAUUGGCAAUGAUUAAAAGCUACAGUUAAUUUUGAUAGGCAAUAACAGUCGAUUCGAGCUCAAAAUGAGAAUGAACCCCUUCAAAUGGAGUUCAAAAUAGCAACAUAUUAAGGGGAAAGGAAGUACGUUUUGUGUUGGUGGUGAUGUUCUAAAUAUGGCCUAUUUCGUAAUCACCAGUAGAUGUCUCUUCUCUAGCCUGCGAUAAAUCCUUUACUGACAAGAUAUAAUACAUUACAAUAGAUUUUUUUUGGUGAUAUUAAGUCAAUGUACCGAACGUUUUAUGAAACUUAGUUUUGGAUCUUUGUUUGA